CACAUAGGACCCAACAUUCUCUUUGGUUUGAUGAAAGAUAUGCAUUUGGGUCAGUUUCUUUCCUUUCAGUUUUCACGCAUGGGUUAAAGACAACAAGCCUUCUUCUUUUCAUUUUGGAUUUUACGGAAGCAACGCAGUAAGUUUAAUAUUAUUUUUUGGAGUCUUUUGUUUUGGAUGGACAUGCAGCGCGAGGGGUUCUUUGGUCUUUUAUGGUCAUAGACGCAUGCCCGUGGGUUGUUUUUGAAAAAAAAUUCAAGGCUGGUUGGUUAAAAAACUCAUUUUUAUGCCAACCAACAACUAUUAGCCACGUAAGAGGUCCAACCUUCAAACACCUACAUCUGACUUUUCAGAAUCCUUCCUCUCCCAUUCCACUCAUCGCCCCCUUUCUGAAGAGUUCUCCAGUUCCAUUCACAGCGCUAGCCAACUUUUUGAGCUUUCUUCCCUUCCCAGCCCCCUUUCGUUCGUCACCCAACAUGAUUCUAACGAGAUCAACUCAUCUCUCACAGUCGAUUUCCCCACCCCUCCCACUUGCGGUGCUGAUUUCACCACGCCCUCCCUCUCGCGCAGUCUUAUCUUUGAGUGGGUUGUGCCGUUGAAGUAAUGGGCCAGAAACUCCACUAAAGAUUUUAAUGGUGUGAGUGGUCUCUAUCCUUCUUUUAGUGUUCUAUUUGCCCCCAGUUUUCUACUAUCUCCGCAUUGGGGUUUCUUUGGGGCCAUGGGAGCUGUUUUAUGAGGUUUCACACAUGGCUUUUUGAUUUUGGACAAACGCUUUAGAGAUAAUGGGGUAAUGAAGUUGGGUUAGUGUUUUGGUCAACUUCGGUUGACUCUUGUUUGGUCUUUGCUAUCUAAUGUAUUGAUCUUCCGAUUCUUAGGCUAGUUUUUAGCUGCCCGUGACUUUCUUUACAUGGGUAUUCGAUUUUAAAUGUUAGUUUUGGGAUAUUACAAAGUAACUUUACUGAAUAAUCAGAUUGACUUCGUGUUUUAUGUUUUGAA